AUUGAACGCUGGCGGCAUGCCUUACACAUGCAAGUCGAACGGCAGCACGGGUGCUUGCACCUGGUGGCGAGUGGCGAACGGGUGAGUAAUACAUCGGAACAUGUCCUGUAGUGGGGGAUAGCCCGGCGAAAGCCGGAUUAAUACCGCAUACGAUCCACGGAUGAAAGCGGGGGACCUUCGGGCCUCGCGCUAUAGGGUUGGCCGAUGGCUGAUUAGCUAGUUGGUGGGGUAAAGGCCUACCAAGGCGACGAUCAGUAGCUGGUCUGAGAGGACGACCAGCCACACUGGGACUGAGACACGGCCCAGACUCCUACGGGAGGCAGCAGUGGGGAAUUUUGGACAAUGGGCGAAAGCCUGAUCCAGCAAUGCCGCGUGUGUGAAGAAGGCCUUCGGGUUGUAAAGCACUUUUGUCCGGAAAGAAAUCCUUGGCUCUAAUACAGUCGGGGGAUGACGGUACCGGAAGAAUAAGCACCGGCUAACUACAUG
rnacentral:rRNA from 1 species